rnacentral:rRNA from 1 species
UACGUAGGUGGCAAGCGUUGUCCGGAUUUAUUGGGUUUAAAGGGUGCGUAGGCGGUUAGGCAAGUCGGAUGUGAAAUCCCGUGGCUCAACUACGGAAGUGCACCCGAAACUGCUUAACUUGAGUCCCGGAGAGGAAGGCGGAAUGCUUGGUGUAGAGGUGAAAUUCGUAGAUAUCAAGCGGAACACCGGUGGCGAAGGCGGCCUUCUGGACGAGGACUGACGCUGAGACGCGAAAGCGUGGGGAGCAAACAGG